rnacentral:lncRNA from 1 species
CCUGUUCUAAUCUGAGGAGGAGAUCGCAGAGGAAGUUGUAUCCUUGCCAUAUCCUAAAAUCAUCCAGUAGUGUUUGUGAUACAUCACUGGAAUCUUUGAGAAAACAGGAAAGCCCAGCAAACAUCUCAACUAUUUCAAGGGGAGAAAGGUCAUCAGACUGCUGCAUGUUCUGAACACACGUGGACAAACAUUCUUUUUCGUGAAUGUAUUUCACUACAUUGACACUAAGGCCGUGACGCGAUAUGGUCAUCAGUACUUCCC